CUCUAGCACUAGCAUGCUGUCCUCAUCUGCAUGGUUGAACCUGAGUCACUGCCACAGUGUGUGACUGUCACAUCAUGUGUUCUGGCCAACAGGAAAGGGAAAGAGAACAUGAAGGAGGCCAACCCCGGAAGACACACUGUGCUAUUCCCGUUGCCUAGAACACCUUUCCUGACCUGAAGGGUCACCCCCAAACCAGCCUUCAAGAGCUUCUUUUGACCAUUGCAUCCUCAACAGGGUAAGGAGGAACAAAGAGAGGAAGGAAAAGCUACAACUCUGGAACAUCUGCUGUCAAAAUUUUGGAGGAAGGUAAAGAAAGCUUAGUAAAGAUUUUCUUUCGUAUAUCUUUUAUUUGUUCUAUCUCUAACUCACAUGAUGAAUUGUUCAACAAAUAUAUAUUG